AAAGAAAACAGGAAAUUUUUUAAAAGAAUAUGCAACAGAGACCUUAUGUGGUCCCACAAGCCCCAAAAUAUAUGUUACCUGGCCUUUACAGGAGGUCCUAAUGUCCUCUAAAAUUCAUAUACAAAGAGAUGCCAAACCGUUGAAAACAGUCUAAAUGUUUAGCAACAGAGAAAUGGUUAAAUAGUCAAUAUGGUAAAAUACUUUUUCAGCUAUUAAAAUAAUUUAGUACAGUUGUAGAAACAAGAAAGAAUUAUGAAUUUGGUAAAUAUAAAAAAUGGCCAUAACCUAGGCAUCAUAUACCUAUCUCUUUAAUCAAUCUUUGCAGCAACACAAUGACAUGUUUUAUUAUCCUUGUUUUGUAGAUGAAGUCUCAAGGAGAGUAAGAAGCUUUUCUUAAAUAGCUAUAUUUUAUCUCAAAUACCAUAUACUUCAUGUUAUUGUCCUUAUUCCACCAUUAGAGUUUGGGGACAUUAACUUUGUAUGUUAAAAUUACUUAUAUAGGCUUGGGGUUUUUGUUUUUUAUUUUAUAGAUUCUGAAAUUGAACUUUCUAAAAUAAAUUUUCACUUUAGUUAUAAACUGUACUCCUGGUUCUUAAGGAUUGAGUUCUGGGAAGAAUUUCAGAGAUUGCCACCACAGCUAUCAGGACCUCAUUCAUGAGGUGCAAGAACAUGAAACACAUAUAGCACUUUCCUAGGUAUUUAUAACUGAAAAAAGAGAAUCUUUAGUUGAUCUUGUGUAAUUAAAUAUCAAAGCAUGCAAGCCACUAGUUUCUGGCUUUUGCGUACUUUGUUGCCUACCCUCACAACAAAGAAGUUGUACCUGAUUGACAUUUCCAGUAUUCAGCUGAUGCUCAGAAAAGUGGCUAUAUGCUCCUACAUAUUUGAUAACAGAAGAAAAAUACUAGCUUCCUUUCCUUUACUUGAUUUCAUUGUCAAUUAGAGGAGUUGUCUCUUAUUUAAAAAUUUUAAAACCCACUUUGCCUUCCAAUGUCAUGUACAUAAUUCUAAUGAUGUUCUUUUUGUCUUGCACAAUCUGAAGAAAGCCACACUCAUCUCCUCUGACCUGAUAAAGCAGUCUCCAGAACAGAUAGAUGAAGGUGGCACAAUCCAAUAAUUAAUGAGCCAAGAAUUAUUCCCGCAUACUAGCUCCUCAGUUCAUCUAGGCAUUACCUCCAUUUCCUCAUGUUUUACCUCCUCCUUUAUCUUUAGAAUCCAAUCUCAGAUGUCACUGAUGAAGUUGUUACAGAGAAAUACAAUAACAGCUGUCUAGACCUACCAGUUAUUGAAUUGAGAUGUCCUGUAGCCUUUGAUACAGAUGAAUAGUCUGAUAUCAUGUGAGAUGAGGAAAUAAGAAGCUUUCUGCUGACUUCAUUGUGACCCAGGGUCCAAAAGGUGAUGUAAUCCUGUGGCAAGAAGAUUCAAAACUGUGAGCUAUCUUGCAAAAAAUACAAGAAGAUAUGGAAAGUUUUCAUGAGUGCCUACCACCUAAUCCCAAACACUGUCAUUCAUAUGCACGUCAUUGAGCAAAUCUUUAUUGAGGAUCUAUAUGCCAGUUCCGUGGGUUCACCAUACUCUGUUGCCUCUGGACUUUCUCACAUUCCUAGAAGAUUCUCUUCAACUUUUCCCUACACCUGGCUAAUUCCUGCACAUCCUCUGAUCUCCGGUGAAACAUCAUCUCUUCCUAAGUCCUCCUUGACCUCUCUCCUACCUCUGACUUUGAUUUGUCCCCACUAUGUGCACCCAUAACGUUCUCAUAUCAUAGCACUUAUCAUAUUCUAACUUUUUUGUUUGUUUUUCCACUUGACUAUUAAUGCUCUUAAGACAAGAAUAUCUGUCUCGAUCAGUGUUCAUUCUCCAGCACUAGCAUGUGUCUGACACCUGAUAGGUACUCAAUAAAUAUUGUUAAAUAACAAGUGAAUGAAUGACUGAAGAAAAAUUGAAUGUGCAAGCCAGGUGCUGGCUUCAUGUGCACUGUCUUAUAGCAGGACUUAGUACUUUAUUGUGUUUCCCCAAAAGCAAAUCAACUCCACAGAGCAGAGGUGAGCAAUGUGGAUUUGACCAACAAUUUCAUGAGGAGACCUAAAAGAAGCUUUAAAUGGCAGACAUUUCUAUUCACCCCUCAGUGUUCCUCUUUGGUUUCCAGAUAUUGGGUCUUCCUCUCUUUUGACCCUCCCUUCCUCCCACUCUCUCACCCCCAACUAGCCUCUACUUCCCUUUUCUAGGCAAUAUCACUCUGAGAGGACUAUAGAGGAUGAACUGGAGAAAGAUGAAGCUAGUAUCAGGGAGUUCCAUUUAAUAGACAAUUGAACAAGGCCAGGCAGAGAUGAUGAAGGCCUGAGUUAAGAAAAUGACAAAAUGACCUGAAUCCCAGGACUUUGGAGGCCCAAGUGGGAGGAUUGUUUGAAGCCAGGAGUUCAAGACCAGUUUGGGCAACAUAGUGAGACCCUGUCUCUACAAAAUAGAAAUUUUUAAAAAAGGAAAAGAAAAUGACAAAAUGAAGAGGAGGGGGUGGGUUUAGGAGAUGUUUGGGAGGGAAGAUCGAUAGGAUGUGAGAAUCGAUUGGAUUAGAGUAGAAGAGAAAGAGGAAUAUAGGGCAUGGUCAAGAUUUGGUGAAUGCAAAAGGAGAAAUAAAGAAAAGAAGAGGAGAAAAAAAGGGUAGGGGUUGAGAGUUUCAUAGGAUUAGAGUUAUUACCAAGGGAAGUAUGAAAGAGAAUUAAGCAGAGAAAGACCAGUAUAAGGAUUAUAAUCACCUGAGAGUCUAACAGGUUAGACACCAAAAUUGGUAUGGGCAUUAGUAUUUAAAUUGUGUAAUGUGGAGCCUGGGUCCCUCUCAGUGUCAGUCAAUCUCCACAAUCAUUAAUUUGCUUUCCACUCUACUGACAAAAGAGCCAGGUGGGGUGUGUGCGUGUUUGUCUAGGUAUGUGCGUGUUGAUGGGAGUAAAGGGGCAGGUUGACAGCCCAGAGCUCAAGUAGAAGAGAAAUAAUUGUGUGUGAUUUUCUUUAAAAACUUGGGCUGCCAAUGGUAAGAGCUGAGAAAAUGGGUGGUAGGUUGACCCAAGAUUUAGGAUUUCUGAGACGAUGGGGCAGAAGGAUCAAGGGGAGAAAUGAUGAAUGAUUUUGUGAAAAGAAUGUUCAAAGUGAUGGACAAUGGCAUCUAGGCUCAUCAGGGACAGAAAUGAGCCAGGAUGGGGCUGACAGACUGGGGGUGGGUGGGGAUAAAAGAGCAGGGGCCAUGCAUGGUGCAAUGUUUACAGGAAAUAGGAGUCCAUAGGAUGCAGGACCCAAGAGGAAAACAAACUGUGGAAAGGAGAAGUUACUCUUCCUUCUCUGAAAUGAAACAGAAAAAGAGAUAUAAUCUUUAAGUAUUUCUCAGUUGAGAAAAAGCAAUGAGAGGACACCCACAUUGGAGAAUCUUGAUUUCUUCUAUUAAGCAAAAGGAGAAAGUUGCAUGCAGAGGUGGGACUCGGGCUUGAGGGAAACAGGAAGGAUUUAGAAAAGGAAAAGUGAGGACUAUGGAAGGAAGGAAAUUUUGAAAAAUCAGAGAAUUACCUGGGAGUAGUAAAGGCUCAGCUGGGACCAGUCAGCUGAUAUUGGCUUGGGUCAGAUUUUUACAUUUUUAAUUUAAUUUUCAGCAAUAUCUUUUGCUUGGGAGCAGAAACAGAAAGUACAUGGUGGAUUUCACUGAGGGAUAGAGAUUUGGAAGACAGGAAUGGAUGAAGAACCAAGUGCAUGAGGGCACCUAUCAGGAUUAUUGCUGAAAUCCUUAUGGAGGUUACUGGCUGAGAGGAAGGCAAGCGAGUGAGGACUGAUGGGCCCUUGGCACUGUGAGAACAGUGGAGGAGGAGGGAGCAGGGGUCAUAAGGAGGAGCACAAACAAAGUUCAGAAUAACACCAGAAUCUUCCAAAUACUUUCCCCAUAGGGUGAAAAGGUAAAUGCCCCUUUAAAUCAUUAACUAAACUGGCACUCAGAUCUGGGCAGGCUCUCCCAGAUUGGGCUGUUCUGUUUUGCCAGGAAUUGAUAAACUUCUGUGACCCCUCCAGGGUAAGUAAGCAUGAUCCAUCUUCCCUGACUGGACAAGUUUGAUCUGGCCUCCUUCCUCCUGCUGAAGCAGGCCUGAGGUGUGUGCCAGGAUUCCAUGUCUUAUGCUAAUACUCACAUUCCACAUACCAGCUCCUGCUGGUACUGCCUUUAGGCUUUUAGAAGGCCCUGCUUUGACCCUCCGUGGCUGUACCCCUCACUACAGGGUGAGGAGACUGUGUCACCUAGGGGAUGUGUCCCCUCAGAACCACAUUACCACAUUGCUCCCUUCUGGACCACACUCUGGAUAACUUGGACCACCUCAGAAUUCCUUGCUCAAAUGCCCCAAGCCCACUUCCAGAGCCUGCCUAGACUUCUUUUCCAGACCCAUCCUCCCAAGAGCAAACCAUGCCACUAGUGUAUAUGGUCAGCCUGAGAGGUAGCCAAGGGUAGCCUAUUUGAAGAGGCAUGCACAGGGUAUGGAUGUGUCAACUGGGGCAUCUACAUGCAUGCAUGAGAGGGCCUUCUCAUUCAGAGUCAAGGAUGGGAAGAGAGGGGGAAUGUUUCAGGUUGGAGUCCAGCUCUCUCCGUGCCUCUCCAUCCUGGUGCAGAACUCCAAGGAGUCCAAGCGUUGCACAUUCAAACCUGACCUUCAGGUCUUUUGGAAGAUAGAGUUAUCAAGGUAGGAAAAUAGAACAUAUUUUAUUUAACAGUUUGACUUAUAACUUUUAUAUCAUUAGACACAUGGAAUAUGGGCCUCCAUUUGUACUCUUGCCCUUGGCCCCACAAAUGUUAGGGAGAGGCCUGGCUCCUACAAGGUACUAUUUACCUGUUGUGAAGAAUAGCCCUUCAAAAGUGUUAUUCUAAGUCUGUUUGACAUAAUAGGUCCAAACCGUAUUAGAAGAUGGUAAAAAACAACAAUCCAUUAAAAAUCCUCUUUGGAUUUCCAAUUUUUGAUAUCACUGCAUGUCAUUUGAGACAGUAAGUUUUCCUGUUUUAUUAAUGUUUAUAUUUAAGCUGAAUUUUCUAAAAGAAUUGUGAAUGUUUUUAUUCUAUUGUGACAUUUAAGGUACGCAGCUGAACCUUGAGUAUAAGCCCCAUCGGCUAAGUACACAUCAAACAUGUCUACAGUACAUCCCUUUAGAGCUUAACAGUUAUUCAUCACUUUUUCAGAAGUUCCAACGUUCCAGAUGGUUACUGAUGCAUUCAGUCUGACCACUGCUAGAUUUGAGACUUGUCCCACAAAUCUGCACACGGUAUCUUCAUUUCUUCAUUAACAGAUCUUUUUUUUUUUUUUUUGGAGACAUGGUGGUUCUCACUAAGUUGCCCAGGCUGGUCUUGAACUUCUGGCCUCAAGUGAUCCUCCCAACUCAGCCUCCCAAAGUAUUGGAAUUACAGGUGUGAGCCACCACACCCAGCCUAGAUCUCAAUUAAGGGAGUAGAAUCAGGUGACACUGAAAAUGUUUGGUCAUAAACCACAGUGAAGGGAAGGGGAGGCAGCUGUUAGAUCAUCUGACUUGUCCCACAGUCCUCAUCCAUUUGCAUCUUGGCAAGCCUUCUGCUACAUCUGAAUCUCAAAAUGGGGGAUAACCUCUUGGGAGAGUCUAUGCUAGUGCCCUUCUAGUAGCAGUUUACAAUCUGCCAACAAAUCUUGAAGCCUUAUUUGGUUGAUAUCGAUUUGAGAGGUGGGAGGUUCAGUUUCCAAAGAGUCAGGAAAGAGCAUUCAUCUAGGCUUGAGAAGCCUCCAUUUCCUGACUCAAGAGUUCUGAUUAGGUUAUUGGUUGAGUGACACAAGGCAAUCAUCUCACUUUUGUGUUCCUGAGCUUCUCCUUUUAUAGAAUGUGGGCAGGAGUGUGGAGAGGGAGAAUUUAUUUCAUUUCCUGUUUCCAAACUUACUAAACUGUGGAACCUUUUUCUUUUGCAGCAUUAGGCAAAACUAAUGUUCUAAGGAACACUCUUUAGGAAAGGUCAGCCAGCUCAGUGGUUCUCAACAGGCAUGUGGUACACAUUUAGUAAUGUCUGGAGAUGUUUUUGGUUGUUACAACUGGGGAUCCAGGGAUGCUGCUAAAUAUCCUGCAAUGCCUAGGACAGCCCUCCACAACAGAGAAUUAUCCAACUCAAAAUGCCAGUCAUUCUAAGGGGUUGAAAAACUCUGGACUAGAUGAACUAUCUCAAUUCUCUUUCAAACUAACAUUUAAAUGUGGUGUUUCUUGUUUGUUAAACACACAAAGUUUUAUUUCUCUUUUACACAAAGUCAGCUCUGGGUCUGGAUGAAUCCGUGGACAGUUUUCUUCCAUGUGUUGGCUCCAUAUUUCAGCUGCUUUGAUUUUUUUGACAUCUUCUUAUCAAUAUGUGCUUCUAUGAUUUCCUUAGCAGAGAAAGAGAAAUCAGAGAGAAUCAUGCGCUGGAUCUUAAAUGCUUCUACAUGGAUGUAAUAAAUGUCUCUUCUCAUUUUUAAUAAGAAGUUUAUUAAAAUAUAUCCAUAU